CACGUAGGGGGCGAGCGUUGUCCGGAUUCAUUGGGCGUAAAGGGCGCGCAGGCGGCCCGGAAAGUCGGAUGUGAAAACUCGAGGCUCAACCUCGAGCGUGCACCCGAUACUGCCGGGCUUGAGGCAGGUAGGGGAGAUCGGAAUUCCUGGUGUAGCGGUGAAAUGCGCAGAUAUCAGGAGGAACACCGGUGGCGAAGGCGGAUCUCUGGGCCUGUCCUGACGCUGAGGCGCGAAAGCGUGGGGAGCGAACAGG
rnacentral:rRNA from 1 species